UAAUGAGUAGUUUAAAUGAAAACAGUAGGUUGUGGUUUUACAGAUGGAAUUGUUGCUCUCAUUAG
rnacentral:tRNA from 1 species